rnacentral:rRNA from 1 species
UACAGAGGGUGCAAGCGUUGUUCGGAAUUACUGGGCGUAAAGCGCGUGUAGGCUGCUUGGCAAGUCGGAUGUGAAAGCCCUGGGCUCAACCCAGGAAGUGCAUUCGAAACUUCCGAGCUCGAGUUCUGGAGAGGAUAGCGGAAUUCUCGGUGUAGAGGUGAAAUUCGUAGAUAUCGAGAGGAACACCGGUGGCGAAGGCGGCUAUCUGGACAGAAACUGACGCUGAGACGCGAAAGCGUGGGGAGCAAACAGG